rnacentral:misc_RNA from 1 species
UUAAUGUUUUGUAUUGAUUCAGACACAAACUAUUCUGCAUAAAUGCGGCGCCGGAGCGCCGAAGCACAUUUUGCUUCCACAGGUUUGAGGGUUUGAAGGCCAGGAAGGCCAUUCAGUAAUGAUCCCUCCGCAGGUUCACCUACGGAGA